rnacentral:lncRNA from 1 species
AUUUUGGAGGUGGUGGAACUGGUUAUUUUGGAGGUGGUGGAACUGGUUAUUUUGGAGGUGUUGGAACUGAUAAUUUUGGAGGUGGUGGACCUGGCUUUUUUGGAGGUGGUGGAACUGGUUAUUUUGGAGGUGGUAUAACUGGUUAUUUUCGAGAUGGUGGAGCUGGUUAUUUUGGAAGUAGUGGAACUGGUUAUUUUGGAGGUGGUGGAACUGGUUAUUUUGGAGGUGGUGGAACUGGUUAUUUUGGCGGUGGUGGAACUUUUUAUUUUGGAGGUGGUUGAACUGGUUAUUUUGGAGGUGAUGGAACUGGUUGUUUUGGCACUGGUUAUUUUGGCGGUGGUGGAAUUGGUUAUUUUGGAGGUGGUGUAACUGUUUUUUUUGGCGGUGGUGGAACUGGUUAUUUUGGAUUUGGUGGAACUGGUUAUUUUGAAGGUGGUGGGACUGGUUAUUUUGGAGGUGGUGGAGCUGGUUAUUUUGGCGGUGGUGGAACUGGUUAUUUUGGUGGUGGUGGAACUGGUUAUUUUGAAGGUGGUGGAACUGGUUAUUUUGGAGGUGGUGGAACUGGUUAUUUUGGAGGUGGUGGAACUGGUUAUUUUGGAGGUGGUGUAACUGGUUAUUUUGG